rnacentral:rRNA from 1 species
GACGAACGCUGGCGGCGUGCUUAACACAUGCAAGUCGAACGGAAAGGCCUCUUUCGGGGGGUACUCGAGUGGCGAACGGGUGAGUAACACGUGAGUAACCUGCCCUUGACUUUGGGAUAACUUCAGGAAACUGGGGCUAAUACCGGAUAGGAGCUCCUGCUGCAUGGUGGGGGUUGGAAAGUUUCGGCGGUUGGGGAUGGACUCGCGGCUUAUCAGCUUGUUGGUGGGGUAGUGGCUUACCAAGGCUUUGACGGGUAGCCGGCCUGAGAGGGUGACCGGCCACAUUGGGACUGAGAUACGGCCCAGACGCCGACGGGAGGCAGCAGUGGGGAAUAUUGCACAAUGGGUGGAAGCCGGAUGCAGCAACGCCGUGUGCGGGAUGACGGCCUUCGGGUUGUAAACCGCUUUCGCUCAUGACGAAGCUUUGUGUGACGGUAGUGGGUAAAGAAGCACCGGCUAACUACGUG